ACGCGUCGACGGGCGACGGCCGGCCGAGCCCCAGGUCUCCUCCACCGAGCAAAAACCUCGCCUUUUUGCAUGUACUCUCCGUCCUCUUCCCUCCCAUCCCAUGGAGUAGAAGAAACCGAGAGAGCAGCCCCAGAUCGCCGUCGACCACACCCUUCCCGCCGUCGGCCGCAAAGAUGACGGCGGUCUCCAUGUCUUAUGCGUUCCGUCAUCCCACUUCCAUGCCGAUUCCAUUCCUUUUAACCGCGGUCCAAUUUGUGCAGCCAAUCGCUGGGAACACCGCCGCGCUCUCGGUCGUCCUGGAGCACGCUCUGAGAGCCGCCGCCAAGACAUCAUGUCCGUCGCCGUCGAUCUGGAGCAAGCCGGGGCGAGCCACCGCGCCAUAGGCUUCCCCUAGAGGUCCUCUCCAAAAACCCUCCAUAUUCCUGAAGAUUCGUGCACCGAGUAGAGGGAUCGAGCUUUUCUUCUCCAACUCCGGCCUAUGACCACCGUCUCCAAAUUCGUCCACUCUGAUUGAUGGCUGGAUCGAGCAUUUUCCGGAGUCCGAAGCCGCUGCCGCCGUCAUCCAAGCUUCGCUGGGCCACGCGGGACAUCGAAUGAGUCUCCAAGACCCCUGUAAACACACAUUCAUGUGCCCUUUUAGCCAUAAACGAGCUCUAGCUCCACAUGCACCAUCACCCGAGUGUUGCCGCCGCUCGCGCCGCCACUGCUAUCAAAUCCGGUCACCAUAGCCCGUGAUUGGAUCAUCUUCGAGUUCGCAGAGGACCCCUAUACAUUUCUUCUUUUGGUCGCGUAGCUCGAAUCCCCACCGUUCGCCGCCGCCGAGACCAGGCAUGGCCGUCGGCCAUGCUGCCCUGCUCUGGGAGGAACACAGGGACUUUCUCUGGAAAUUAGAUAAAAUCUAGGAUCCUAUCUGUAAAUAUCCCACACCAUUGAACAGUCACAGGACUGCGUGUUGGUUUCCAUAAAAACUAGGGUUCUUCAUGCAAAGUCGCCAGUUUGAAAUCUUUUAAAUAAAAUGGAAAUAUUAACAAGUUUUCCUAUUGAAUUAGAAAAUAUGUUAAAUUGUAAAAUCCGUAUAAAAUCAAAUAUAAAUUGUUUUGAGAUGAACCAAAUUUCUGUAGGUUCAGCAAGAUGUGGACUUUAAUUUAGUAAGAUAAAAUUUUGCACCUCCUGUACGGCUGUACCUGAAACAUCACUAAAAAUAUGAAUAGCAAAAUAAUCAACACACACAUAAUCCAACUUCUAAAAUUCAUAGGAAACUCAUCUUAGCUCAAAAUAGAGUGAACCAAGUCCUGCUAGAUUCACAGAAGCGUAUUGUUUCACGUUUUAAAAUAAAAUAUGGAACCUUUAAUAUAAAGAUCAUCUCUAAACUUUAACAUUGUAGAGUAAGUACUACUAAAUUACAAACUAUAAGUCAUAAAUUUCAUAUAAUAUAUUCUAGCUCCAAAUAAUUUAAAAUUAAAUUACUCCAGUUAUCAAGAAUCUAAAACACUUUUGUUUAUAUAACGCCUCUCAAUUUGGUGUAACAAAUAGUCAACAUAAAACACAUCAAAACUUUGUGAAAUAGGUGAAAAGUUCAUAGCCUAGAGUAGUUGAUAGAGCCGAGAUUGAAGUGAGGGCUGUUGGAGACCUCACACAUAGACUCCCUAGCGGCUGUAAUUUAAUUUUAAAUAAUGUCUUAUUUGCUCCAUCUAUUAAGAGAAAUCUUAUUUCGGUUAAGAGUCUUAGUAGAGACAGGUUAUGACUGUCAUUUUACAAAAGGAACAUGUUUAAGUUUAAUAAUAAAGUUGUGGGUCUUGCCUUCGUGCGAGACAAACUCUAUUUGCUCUCUUUGGAUGAUUUUGUGAUGAAUGUUAUAAAUGCAUAUAAUGAUAAAGCUGAGAUGUCAUCAAAAUUAUGGCACUAUCGUUUGGGCCACAUUUCUAGAGAAAGAAUUGAAUGUCUCAUUAAAGAAUAAAUACUCCUUCCUUCAGAUUUUUCUGAAGUAGAUCAUUACGUAGAUUGCAUUAAGGGAAAUUUCACUAAGACAAUUAAGAAAGGGGCCACUAGAAAUAAUUCAGAUCAAUAUUUGUGGACUGUUCCCAAUGACAUUUCUGGAUGGCUUUGACUCAUUCAUUACAUUCACAAAUGAUUAUUCCCGUUUUGGCUAUAUUUAUCCCAUUAAUGGUUGUUCUAAAUCUCUUGAGAAAUUUAAGGCCAAAGUGGAAAAUCAGCAUAAUGCUAAACUUAAACUCGUGAGAUCAAAUCGUGGUGAUGAAUACUAGGGAAGCUUGCUCCACUUGGGCAAAUUUCUAGUCCAUUUGCCUUAUAUCUCCAGCAAUAUGGGAUUGUUACCCAUGCCUAAUGAACCUCAGUAGAACGGAGUAGCAGAACGACGCAACUAGGGCUGGACGAAAAGCUCGAGGCUUGUGACCAGCUCGGCUCAUUAUGUUUUGAAACGAGCCGAGACGUCGUUUCAGCUCGUUAGGCAUAACGAGCCAGUUCAAGCGGGUUUACGAGCUGCUUGCAAGUCUUAACGAGCUUACACAGAGAUAAAUUCGUAGGACAACCAUGGCCGAUAGAGAAAGUCCCAUGAUGGCCCAAGUACAUUAGUCACCAUGCAUCGUCAAUAGAAAAAUCAAUCGAGAGAAAUCUAUACUAAUAUAAAAAGGAGAAGUUGCCCCCCUCCAAUCGUACUGGUGAAAUCAUUCGGAGUAAUCUCUGCCGUCCAUCCGCGCGCACGAUCUCACCACCACACGAUUGAGUACUGCCGCGAAUACUACUCUCCAUCCCCGCGUAGACUUCGCUCCUCCUCCUCGCGCAGACUUCGUUGCUCCUCGCUCGUUUGAUCCAUCCAUCCACGCCGAAUACUUCACUCCUCUUCCUCUACCCGCGAAGACAUCGCUCCACGGGUGAAGACUUCAUCCUCCCCGCGUGGACUGCCGCCGCCGGAGCCUCUGAUUCUUCGCCGCCGCCGGAGCCGGUGCUUCUUCCCCGCGUGGACUGCCGCUGCAUCCCCGCCGCCGGAGCCGCUGCUUCUUCCCCGCCGCCAGAGCCGCCGUGUCCGGUUCCGACCUCGGCCCCAUCCGCCGCCGCCGCUGCCGAGGUCCGCCGCCGCGGCCGGAGCGGACUUUCCGUCGCCACCAGCUCCGACGUUGUCCUCCACCGCGGCUUCUCCCAGUACAGCACCUCCAACUUUACCCGCCACGACCACAACGACCCUUGAUGCUCUGUUCAUCAGACGGAUUCUGCAAUCUCAUGCAGAGAAGAUCAAGGAGGUUGUUCCAGACGCUAUUAAAUCAGUCACCAAUUCACAUAUUCACAAAGCUUAUUUUAUAUGGGUACAUACUCUCUAGCAUUAUUCAGCAAACUAUCUUUUGGUUGAACAAAGACUAUUGAUGAGGCUCUUCAAGACCUGGAUGAUUGCCUAACAAUUGUGAUUUUGUUUACAACUACUAGGAGAUGAUUGUGUGUGAAUUGAGAAUCCUUCAUUGUCAUCUGUUCAGCGCUAUAAACUCCCCUAUAAAACUUACCAUGAGACAGAACUAUAUCUUGAUUCCAUAUCUCUUUUUUGCUUUUGUGGUAUGUUUAAUUACCCUAUAAAACUCUAGCCAUUUUACCCAAUUCAGUUUAAUUAACAAAGCUUUCAAGAAUUAAUCAUGAGUUGAACUCUCAACUGUUCGCAAUGCUAGCACAGGUGCAGUAAUGUCAGAUGACAAUGAAGAUUUGACUCGGUAAUGGAGGCAGAUGCGGUUCUUUUCCCUUCCCGUACCUAAUUGAUAUGCUUUCUAUGUAAUCUUGCAAUUGCCUCAGAUUUUGAAUAUAUCUAAUCUUGUUUUCUUCCCUAGGCUCCCCGGUUAUCUUAUUGGUUUGUUGUUUGCUUGUUAGGACUGAGUUGAUGACAAAUUGAACUGAAGAAGAAUUUGUGGGCGAAAAGGUGCUAUUGGUACUGUUAUUAAGUGUUUUCAGUCCUUUUUCACCGAUCGAAUUAUAUUCUUCUUGUGAGCAUUCAUUUAUCCAAUUGUCAAGAUAUCAACCAGGCUCCAGUUGUUUUUAUCACUGCUCCAAUCUUUUUUCAUUUUAAAAGGAUUUGACUAAGCGUUCUUACUGAUGAUGAUGAUGUGCGGCAUCACGAACCUGAGGCGCAUGCCAGUGACCGUGGAGCAGGAGGGGACGAUCUGUGCCGCGGAUGUGGGCGUGGAGGGCAUCACGCUCCUGGUAAAGAUUACCUUGCUCCUUGCGAUAAAUCAAUCUUCAAUGGUAUUAUAUUUCUUUUCUACUCUUCCGUCAAUAAAAACGAGGCCACAUGUUUGCUGGAGCUGUAUAGGUGCAGGUGCUCAUACUUCAUACUGGCACAAGGGGCACACUGCAGAGAAAAAAGAAACAGAUUUCAAUAUCAAUUGGCAUGUGAAACAGAUUUUAGUAUUUAUGAAAAUAAGAGUAUUUUCUCCCAUCGAUAUACAUGACAUGUGCCUUGCAUGCGCACACUAACUAUUGAUAUGUUCUCUUUCUCUUGACUAUGCAGAUGAUCAGUUUCAUUGCCAAAUGGGAAGCAAAUAUGUGAGCAUGAGAGUUAAUGUGCCUUUACAGGUUUGCUGGUCUGAUUGUAGAUGAUAUGACUUGUUAUUUGUAUUAUCGAAUAUGUACUAUUUUUCUCGGCUGAAUCUUGUGACCUUUCCUUUAUUCAUGUAUUAGGAAUUUGUUUUGGAUGACUGAUUCGGCAGGACUGAUUCCAUUGUGGAUUUGUUGAGGUGCUUCCGAUGUGGUCCAAUUAUUGUUAUUUCCUGGGGCUAUCAAGUUCUAACAGAAUUAAGCACCACACUUGGGUAUCUAUAUCUUUCUUAUGUUAUCCUCAAUUAUUUCUAACACCACUUUGUACCUUCAUCUUUUCUGUUUUGUUCCUCAUAUGCACUAAUUUUUAUUUAGUAUGGAAAAUUGGGGCCACAAUAAUAUUUUAAGCAAUGCUUCGCAAGCAGUUCAAUAACAUGGCAGUGCCUUAGUUGUCUGCACUAAUUGUAUGGAAGUCAAUUUGGUUGUCAAAGAUCAUGGCUACACAAGGACCCUGCUGCUGCCAAAUGCUACACAUUUGUCUAUACUGUAAUUCAGUACUAUGAUAAAAUGGUGCCGUUCUCUGCAGUGUUCACCAUCAUGGGUGCUUCUUGUUAUUGUAUUAACUGAACAUAUAAUCAUUCCAUUUAUCUGUUAUCUGUUAAAUCUAUAAGACAUAUCACGAAAUGGUUGCGUUCUCUUGGAUUGGAUUUUGAUUCAAUUAUCAAGCUUUGUA